UACGGGGGGGCAAGCGUUGUUCGGAAUUACUGGGCGUAAAGGGCUCGUAGGCGGCCAACUAAGCAGACGUGAAAUCCCUCGGCUUAACCGGGGAACUGCCUCUGAUACUGGGGAUCUUGAGUCCGGGAGAGGUGAGUGGAACUGCGAGUGUAGAGGUGAAAUUCGUAGAUAUUCGCAAGAACACCAGUGGCGAAGGCGGCUCACUGGCCCGGUACUGACGCUGAGGUGCGAAAGCGUGGGGAGCAAACAGG
rnacentral:rRNA from 1 species